UGUAUAAUGGGUCAGCGACUUAUAUUCUGUAGCAAGGUUAACCGAAUAGGGGAGCCGAAGGGAAACCGAGUCUUAACUGGGCGUUAAGUUGCAGGGUAUAGACCCGAAACCCGGUGAUCUAGCCAUGGGCAGGUUGAAGGUUGGGUAACACUAACUGGAGGACCGAACCGACUAAUGUUGAAAAAUUAGCGGAUGACUUGUGGCUGGGGGUGAAAGGCCAAUCAAACCGGGAGAUAGCUGGUUCUCCCCGAAAGCUAUUUAGGUAGCGCCUCGUGAAUUCAUCUCCGGGGGUAGAGCACUGUUUCGGCAAGGGGGUCAUCCCGACUUACCAACCCGAUGCAAACUGCGAAUACCGGAGAAUGUUAUCACGGGAGACACACGGCGGGUGCUAACGUCCGUCGUGAAGAGGGAAACAACCCAGACCGCCAGCUAAGGUCCCAAAGUCAUGGUUAAGUGGGAAACGAUGUGGGAAGGCCCAGACAGCCAGGAUGUUGGCUUAGAAGCAGCCAUCAUUUAAAGAAAGCGUAAUAGCUCACUGGUCGAGUCGGCCUGCGCGGAAGAUGUAACGGGGCUAAACCAUGCACCGAAGCUGCGGCAGCGACGCUUAUGCGUUGUUGGGUAGGGGAGCGUUCUGUAAGCCUGCGAAGGUGUGCUGUGAGGCAUGCUGGAGGUAUCAGAAGUGCGAAUGCUGACAUAAGUAACGAUAAAGCGGGUGAAAAGCCCGCUCGCCGGAAGACCAAGGGUUCCUGUCCAACGUUAAUCGGGGCAGGGUGAGUCGACCCCUAAGGCGAGGCCGAAAGGCGUAGUCGAUGGGAAACAGGUUAAUAUUCCUGUACUUGGUGUUACUGCGAAGGGGGGACGGAGAAGGCUAUGUUGGCCGGGCGACGGUUGUCCCGGUUUAAGCGUGUAGGCUGGUUUUCCAGGCAAAUCCGGAAAAUCAAGGCUGAGGCGUGAUGACGAGGCACUACGGUGCUGAAGCAACAAAUGCCCUGCUUCCAGGAAAAGCCUCUAAGCAUCAGGUAACAUCAAAUCGUACCCCAAACCGACACAGGUGGUCAGGUAGAGAAUACCAAGGCGCUUGAGAGAACUCGGGUGAAGGAACUAGGCAAAAUGGUGCCGUAACUUCGGGAGAAGGCACGCUGAUAUGUAGGUGAGGUCCCUCGCGGAUGGAGCUGAAAUCAGUCGAAGAUACCAGCUGGCUGCAACUGUUUAUUAAAAACACAGCACUGUGCAAACACGAAAGUGGACGUAUACGGUGUGACGCCUGCCCGGUGCCGGAAGGUUAAUUGAUGGGGUUAGCGCAAGCGAAGCUCUUGAUCGAAGCCCCGGUAAACGGCGGCCGUAACUAUAACGGUCCUAAGGUAGCGAAAUUCCUUGUCGGGUAAGUUCCGACCUGCACGAAUGGCGUAAUGAUGGCCAGGCUGUCUCCACCCGAGACUCAGUGAAAUUGAACUCGCUGUGAAGAUGCAGUGUACCCGCGGCAAGACGGAAAGACCCCGUGAACCUUUACUAUAGCUUGACACUGAACAUUGAGCCUUGAUGUGUAGGAUAGGUGGGAGGCUUUGAAGUGUGGACGCCAGUCUGCAUGGAGCCGACCUUGAAAUACCACCCUUUAAUGUUUGAUGUUCUAACGUUGACCCGUAAUCCGGGUUGCGGACAGUGUCUGGUGGGUAGUUUGACUGGGGCGGUCUCCUCCUAAAGAGUAACGGAGGAGCACGAAGGUUGGCUAAUCCUGGUCGGACAUCAGGAGGUUAGUGCAAUGGCAUAAGCCAGCUUGACUGCGAGCGUGACGGCGCGAGCAGGUGCGAAAGCAGGUCAUAGUGAUCCGGUGGUUCUGAAUGGAAGGGCCAUCGCUCAACGGAUAAAAGGUACUCCGGGGAUAACAGGCUGAUACCGCCCAAGAGUUCAUAUCGACGGCGGUGUUUGGCACCUCGAUGUCGGCUCAUCACAUCCUGGGGCUGAAGUAGGUCCCAAGGGUAUGGCUGUUCGCCAUUUAAAGUGGUACGCGAGCUGGGUUUAGAACGUCGUGAGACAGUUCGGUCCCUAUCUGCCGUGGGCGCUGGAGAACUGAGGGGGGCUGCUCCUAGUACGAGAGGACCGGAGUGGACGCAUCACUGGUGUUCGGGUUGUCAUGCCAAUGGCACUGCCCGGUAGCUAAAUGCGGAAGAGAUAAGUGCUGAAAGCAUCUAAGCACGAAACUUGCCCCGAGAUGAGUUCU
rnacentral:rRNA from 1 species